UACGGAGGGAGCUAGCGUUGUUCGGAUAUACUGGGCGUAAAGCGUGCGCAGGCGGUUGUGCAAGACAGAUGUGAAAUCCCCGGGUUCAACCUGGGAACUGCAUUUGUGACUGCACGGCUGGAGUGCGGCAGAGGGGGAUGGAAUUCCGCGUGUAGCAGUGAAAUGCGUAGAUAUGCGGAGGAACACCGAUGGCGAAGGCAAUCCCCUGGGCCUGCACUGACGCUCAUGCACGAAAGCGUGGGGAGCAAACAGG
rnacentral:rRNA from 1 species